rnacentral:rRNA from 1 species
AUGCUCGUCUUCCACGCAUGGACGGGAGAGGAGCUCCCGAUCCUUGUGUCCAAGGCAUCCUCGUCGCCAUUGCUCGAGCCUCCUCCGGCAGCUGUCGCCGGCUACCACCCGCAGGACCCCAUCGUGCCCAUCACCUUCCUCCUCCUUGCUCGUUUCCUCCUUCCCGCCUCUCAUCUCUCCCCUGUUUCUCUUGACAGGCGCCGAGCCACCAUGUCUGCCGCCAAGUUCUUGCCGGGAGCGACGCCGCCCGGAUCCGGCUGUCUUCGCGUCGUCCGCGCCCCUGCCUCGCCAUGGACGCGCCGCCCCAGCUUGUCGGAGUCCCAGCAGCCCCGCCUGCUCCCCUGCUUCACCAAGUUCAUCGCUGCUCGAGCUCUCGAGCUACUCCAGCGCCCCAUGGCCUCUGCCGCGCCGGAGCUUUGCUGCCGCAGGCGACAGCAACAACAAUUUCAUCGUCGCCUUCCUCCUCUCUUCCCGUGCGCGCGGCCACCCAACCCCGUCGCCCUCCGUCUACAUCGCACGCUCGUGCCGGACCCAAGGGGGCCCCGACGCCCUGCAGAUUCCCCACAGCCCUGCCUCGUCCAACCUCGCCGUCCCCGAGCUCUUUUUCGGCGGGAUCCACCCCAACGCCGUGGUUCCCCGGCGCCCCGGACCUCCUCUGCGUCGCCCGCCAAGUCCCGCUGCCGUCCCGCCGUUGACCUUCUGUGCCGCCACACCGUCUCUCUGUCGAGCGAGAUGGUCAAACGCUCGGGCUGCUCAAUGUCGUGUGCCAGGUGGGCCACGCACAGGCCCAGUGCGUCCCGAGCCCAACACUACCGAGCCGGCCCAAGUUCUGUGGUUAGUUCCGAUAACGUCGCGUUUGUGAUGUGCAAGGGAUAUCAAGUCAUCACAAUUUUUGGAAACGAUUAG